rnacentral:rRNA from 1 species
GUCUUUUUGAAAAUAUAAAAAGUCAAGCCUGCCCACUGAUUAAUUUAAGGGCCGCGGUAUUUUGACCGUGCGAAGGUAGCGUAAUCAUUAGGUUUUUAAUUGAAAUCUUGUAUGAAUGGUUAGACAAGGGAAAAUCUGUCUCUGUUAUUAAAAAUUGAAUUUAACUUUUAAGUGAAAAGGCUUAAAUAAGUUUAAAAGACGAUAAGACCCUAUAAAGCUUGAUAUUAAAUAUUAUUUAAUUAAAUUUCAUAUAAAAUUUUUAUAAUAUGAUUUUAUUUUAUUGGGGUGAUAAAAGUAAAAAGAUUACUAACUGCUUAUGUAAAAAACAUAUAUAAUUGAAAUAAGUUUAUAAUAGAUCCUGAUUAAAGAUUAUAAGUUUAAGUUACUUUAGGGAUAACAGCGUUAUUUUUUUUGAGAGUACAUAUCGAAAAAAGAGUUUGCGACCUCGAUGUUGAAUUAAAAUUUCUUUAUAGAAGCAGAAACUAUAAAAGUUGGUCUGUUCGACCUUUAAAAUUUUACAUGAUUUGAGUUCAAACCGGCGUGAG